UGUCGUAACUGCCGUGAAAGUCCGGGGCUCAACUCCGGAUCUGCGGUGGGUACGGGCAGACUAGAGUGAUGUAGGGGAGACUGGAAUUCCUGGUGUAGCGGUGAAAUGCGCAGAUAUCAGGAGGAACACCGAUGGCGAAGGCAGGUCUCUGGGCAUUAACUGACGCUGAGGAGCGAAAGCAUGGGGAGCGAACAGGAUUAGAUACCCUGGUAGUCCAUGCCGUAAACGUUGGGCACUAGGUGUGGGGGACAUUCCACGUUUUCCGCGCCGUAGCUAACGCAUUAAGUGCCCCGCCUGGGGAGUACGGCCGCAAGGCUAAAACUCAAAGGAAUUGACGGGGGCCCGCACAAGCGGCGGAGCAUGCGGAUUUAUUCGAUGCCACGCGAAGAAACUUACCAAGGCUUGACAUGAACCAGACCGGCUGGAAACAUCCUCC
rnacentral:rRNA from 1 species